UACGAAGGGGGGCUAGCGUUGUUCGGAAUUACUGGGCGUAAAGCGCACGUAGGCGGAUACUUAAGUCAGGGGGUGAAAUCCCGGGGCUCAACCCCGGAACUGCCUUUGAUACUGGGUAUCUCGAGUCCGGAAGAGGUGAGUGGAAUUCCGAGUGUAGAGGUGAAAUUCGUAGAUAUUCGGAGGAACACCAGUGGCGAAGGCGGCUCACUGGUCCGGUACUGACGCUGAGGUGCGAAAGCGUGGGGAGCAAACAGG
rnacentral:rRNA from 1 species